UGGACUCUCUAGAAGUUCCUCAUCUUGAACUGGGGAGCCCAGAACUGAACACAAUACUCCAGAUGUGGCCUCACCAGGGCAGAGUAGAGGGAAGCAAUCACUUCCCUCCACCUUUUAAUGCCCCUCAAUUUCCAGAUGCACUCAGAGAGCAUCGACCCAACCCCUUGAGCAGACAAAAAAUGGUUCUAUGUCGUCAGCCUUCCAGAGCAUGUCAGCUGUACUUGGAAACAACCAUCUGGAGAAUCCAAUGGGCUACCAGCACAGGGCUUGGGGCACAGGUGCAGUGGCCUCUUAAAGAGCAGCUCUGCCCAGCAGGCAGAUGUGUCCCACACCCAUCUCAACAAGGAGCAGGCCCAGAAGAACUGCUUCAUAGCAAUCUGGUGCAUGCUACCCCUCAGUGCCUGCCGGAGGUUCUCCAGGUACCCACAUGGGAGCUGACAGCAUGCACACACACAGUGGCCUAGGUGACACCGCUUCUUUUCACUAUGCUUGCUGAGGUACGGGCUCAGGAGCCAGCUCCCCAGGCUGCCACUACACAGGCAAUGGGAAGUGCGCUUCCUCCCUUCUGGCACUUGCAUAAUUGCCAGCAUUGCUUCACAAAUCCCAUAAUCAUCAUUUUGCACUUGCACAAUCUCAGCCAAAUUAGUCUCCUCCAUUCCUCCAUCUCUCGCAGACAAUGGGCGGCCAAUCAGCUGGCACUAAAUAUUUAGGGCAAAUGAAGACUCAGGGCUGGUAAACUAAAAUGCUUGCUUGGAUCUGCUCACCACAUGGCAUGGCUACAGGGAGUAGGACCUCAUAGAAUCUCCCAGGAGCCCCAUGGCCUGCAUGUUUCUAGGCAUAGGACUGCAGUGUUCAGGCUGUGUCACCCACUGGGUAUUCUGGGGGGAGAAAUACAGCUAGGCUGCCUUUUCAAGUAGAGUCUAUUGCAAGUGUUCAGGUCAGUAGUGGAGGAAAAUGUGCAGAGAAGAUCUGAUAAACUGCGUGAAUUAAUAGGUGAGUUUCAGUAACAUUAGUUGUACAUAAGUCAGUCUCAGGAUUCAUUCCUUAGGCGUGCAUGUAUUUGCAAGAUUGGAGCUAUUUUACAAUACUUACAGAUUCAGAAGAAAUAAAGUCUUCACGAAAGUCAGUAAAAAGGACAUUGCCCUCUGAAUGCCCUGUUUGCAGCAUAUUGUCUUUCAGACCACUCGGUCUGUCAUUUUCAAACAGAGCUCCCCCUCACUGCUGGAAGCAGCAGAAGGUAAUAGCAGAACAGAUGUAAUGCAAGCUGGUAUUUCAGUCUGAAUGAUUCAUUGUCAUCAUCAGCGGUGAGAACACUACUUCUGCAGUUUAUGAAUCAGAUCAUUACGUAUUGCUUGUCUUUCCAAGAUUAGGUAAUGCAGAGAAUGUUUGUGUAUAUAUACAUAGAGCUCAUACAGAGGAAACAAACGACGUGUAUCUAAUGUGCCAAAAAUGGAUAGGGAAUUCAAUAGCUGCAGAUACGAUUCCUUCUGAAUGUCAGCGUCUACUUCAUCUCAAACAUCUUUUCAUCAUUUACAAGAGCAGAGGUACUCAUCUCAGUUUUAAGUGUCCCAACUGUAUUCUUGCUUCUUCCAUAACGCUUUUCAUAAACACAGUGAUGGUCUGCAUGCAAAAGGUAACACAUUGUAGAUCAUCAACUGUAAUUAAUUAUCCACUUGUCCAAGCACACUUACCUGUGGCAGUCACUUUACUGAAAUGGGACUGGCUAUCACAAACAAACAAACUAUAUAUAUAUAUAUAUAUAUAUAUAUAUAUAUAUAGUGAUAUAUAUAUAUCACUUCCUCCCUCCAAUAAACCCAAAUUAGUCUGUUCCAUUAUAGGGAAACCACAUGCACAGGUCUCUUCAAGUAGCUGGUUUUAUGCUACUAUGCUAUUACAGCUUCUGCUAGCAUAGUUUUAGAAUACCAUACAAUACUAAAGAAAAGAUGAUAUCAUUCAACAUUUGAAUCAUUCCUCCCCUCUCUCUUUUUUUUUUUUUUUCCUUAUAAGUUCUUUUUUGAAGGAAUCCAUUAAAAUUUCAGGCUGCCUUCCCAAUAAUUGCCCAAACCUGCUGCAAAUCACAGGAGGUGGUCCCUAACAGGGAGAAAGACACUGCAGAGAUCUCAUGCGAAGAUUGAUACAGUUGAUUUCCCUUCAAAAAAGAGAUAAAAGUGACUUUAAGGGGAAUGUUACAUCACUGUAAGUAACUUUCUUAGGCGAGAGUUUUAAACAACGUGGAUGUUCUGGACAGGGUGUGAAAAGCAAUGAGCUAGAGGUUGAGGUGCCUCUUCAGACACUCAUUUCAUCCUCUGAAAGGAAGAACUUUGCUGGCUUCCAGUGAUAUUUACUUAGGCAUCUGUGAUACCUAUUUAAGUGUCUCCUAUACCAUUCCUGGUGUCACAGAGGUCACUUGUCUCUCCGCACUCCUAUCUCAGCAGCAUCUAGAGGCCACGUUUCACUGAGCUCUGCAACUAUGAUGCUGCCAAGACAGAGCAGUGAGUGCUUUAUCCUACCUGAUGUGUCCAACCAUGUCAUGUCUUUCUCUCAGUGCAUCCCUAGCACAUGAGCUGGGGCAGCCACUCAGUCUCCAUAUUAUUGCCACCCAAUCUCAUUUCCAGGUGAGUACCCCUUGUGUUACAUUUGCACUCAGCCAGUUGUUUUUGCUGCCUUAGGUAUCUCAAAAUACCUAGUUACUACUGUUCAGAGUUGAGUUCUUUUUAUACUAUGUUCAGGGAAGGAGUCUGAACAGAAUAAAUCACUACAGAGUUACUUAGAGCUGGGAUAAGUGUCUAAAGGAAGCAAUUCUCUUCCUCACACCAACUUGGUGAUAAUUACUUGCAGUUCUCCAAACAUUUUGUUGGAAAUAACAUCUGCUUCACAGUGGAGUUUUUUGUACAGCUGCAGUUACCAGCAUUGCCAGGCACAGAAGGGAGGAUUAAGCAAGCAAGGCCUUCCUCUAAGCGUUAACAUUAUCUUUUCAGGCUACCUGUAUGACUUCAUACAUCACUAUAGUACCAGAACAUCCCUUUCAUCAUUUUUCCAUUUGGAAAACCGUGCUGUAUUUACAGUGAUACUUCCUUAACAAGCAUACACUGACCCAAUCUCCUAAAACCAAUUCCAUAGUAAUUACAUUUUCUCUUUCCUUCUAGGCGCCGUGUGACAAUAGUUGGUCACAUAUGUAUUAUUAAACCCACGUUUAUUUCCCUUACUUUAGUUUGCCCAAGUGCUAGUGGCUAAAACAUUCCUGUGUCCCAGUGCUGACUCAGUGUAUGCAGCUCAUCAGUGAGAAGAGGCAUAUGGUUAUCACGAGGUGCAUAUAGACACUGUUCUUCUGUUCCCCUCCACAGAAGUGAUGAGCAGAGUGGGACUGAGGCUCCAUCUGUGAGGCACGGCCCAACAUAUUUCCUGCUAUCACAGUUUAACCAGUCUGCUACUGUUUGAUAUGGUAAUACUCAACCGGUGCAUGAGGCAGAAAGUACGGCAGAAUGGGUGUGGGUUUUUUUGGUGUGUGGGUCUGGCUGCUUGGUUUUAUAACAUUUCCUUGCUGAUGAGCUCUUUUAUAUCAGGUGAAGUUCACCCCUGUGUUAUUAUUUUCUUUAUUGCUGUUAUGGGUUCUAUUUCCAUUGGCGGCUUGAAAAUACUGAGGUAAGGACAAGCAGGCUUCUUUACAGGUACACAGAAAGACAGCAGCUUGCUUGUUAAAAAACAGUACAAAGAAAUGUUGUCCAUUGGAAAACCAGUAUUAUUGUGCCAAGUUAGGAGUGACAACAUUCCUCAGCACUUCAUGUAUUCAUGAAUAUGAAGGAGCGCUUUGCUACCAGGUCCACUGCUCCUUCCACCCAUUAAACCAUCACCAGAAGGUGACAGUUGAUGCUGGGCAUUUAGAAGAGAGAUAAAACAGAUGUAGAUUUUACCUUACAGCAAUAGUUUGAGGGGGAAAAAAUAACAGCAGUGGUGGCAUGAGUUUGCAUCAGUUGCAUCAGCUUCAGCGGUGUCUGAGUUUGGACAGUGAAGGAAUCCAAACAAAGCAGGUAUUGCCUUAGAAAUAAACCUUGCGUGGCCUUUGUACUAUUGAGCAAUGCAAGAGAGGGAUAAAAGGAUUUCAGGCACCGCUCCAACAUCCCAAAGGAAGCUGUCUGUGGCAACCUGUGAUUAAGUGUGAUUGGAACCAGGCAAAAAUAGGUUUCUUUUAAAAUCAGCACAGUCUUAAGUGAAACCGAGUGUCUUUACAAAUGUCCCGACUUGUGCUCCAUUCCUCUCCCAAAAAUAAGAAAGGCAAUAAUUCAGUUGCAAUAAUAACUGCCAAAAGGAAUAAAUAAAUAAAUAAAUAAAUAAAUGAGCUGGGAUUAAUGGUUCUAAGUCUUUUGAAUUUCAAGUUUGAUGAGUUGUUUUAGAUUUGUCUGCUGGCUCCAGGCAAAUCUCAGUUCCCUUACUGUCUGUCCUGCUUCAUGCAAUCUGAAACACAGUAGAAAAACCAGCUUAAUGUUUUCAGACAGAGGAACUGUACUGUGUGUGCCGCCCCUUAGCUGGAAAAGAUACAGAAGUUGCUGCUUCCUUCUGCGUGGAUCGCUGGUGUCUUACUGCCCAUGAGAAACACAGAGAGACAGACGGGAACUUCAGGACGUUAGAAUAUGCAGAAAUAACAGUCAAUACAGUAAGGACAUCAGAGAAAAUAGGCCACCCAACCCCUAAAAUAGUAACACUGCCAAAUUAUGAAUGACCUUAAAGAGCAGUCCAAAAUCGUGGAAAACUUUGUGUUCAAACUCAAUUUCUUUCGUAUCAGUAAAACUGCUUAUGGCAUAGUUAUGUGGAAAUCAGUUUUGUGAGUUUAUGAGCAGUGAUGUUACAUUAACUGAAGGACAACAAAAUGAUUGGUACUGUCAAUAAAUGUACUUCUUUUGUAGCCACAGUGAACCAGUCCUGUUUGCCACAUUGUGCGUUCUUUGGUUGGUAAUCUAUAGCAGCAAAAACACCUUCAGUCUUAUUUGCAUCGCCUGUACUUGCCUCCCAGAUAAAUCCCAUGCCAGGGUAUGAUCCUCACAUACUUUCAAAAGAGGUCAGAAAAGAGUUAAGUGCAAAGGGCACUGAAGGAACCAGAAAAGGGAGUGCGAGUGCUAAUGACAGCUUUUAUGUAAGUGCCCUGCCACCUGUCUGGCUGCCUGCAGGAUGCCAUCCUUUGUGCUCUGCUAGGGUAUGCUUAGAACAUUUUAAUGGGACCUGGUCUUGUAUUUAAAGAGCCAUCAUUACUGAGAAAACUUUGUUCAAAAAACUGAAACUCUGCUAGAGAAUAUCAGUGCAAAUUGAACAAAGCAUUUCCAAACCUCGGUCUGUAUGUUCCAUUUUACUUUGAUUUUUUUUCCCCCCUCCUCCUGAUUGUGAAGAAAAAGUAGAAAGGGGAAUUGUAAAGCUUCAAUCACUAGUUGAAUUUUAAGCAGGUCUGAGGAUGACAUCUGGGGAUCCAACUUUCAGUCUGGGCUUAGCAGCAAGGACACCCUGAAGACAGAAAGGCUUGAAAAAACUGGCUUAAUGCUCACAUGAAGGUCUGAGCAAGAUAUUUCCUACAAGUCUUCCUUCCCCAGUACCAAACCACAUAUAUUGCUUCAGAUUUUCAACAUUUCCCAAUCUGGAUUAAUUUACAUUCGGAGAGAGGGUGUGAAUUAAACUGUUAUAAAAUUCUUAGAUGCAGCGCCAGCUUGUUACUAUGCUUUUUCCAGCAUUAAAUGCUUUUUCUGUUAAGGAAGCCCUCAGAAUUUCUUCCGUCUGGAAAUCUCUCAUUGCUCAGCUGAUUCAUAAAUGCAAAAGAAGACAUACACAAACAAACGCAUUUGUGGUAAUACAACAACUCCUUUUGACUUUGCUGUAGUUGGAGGCUCUAUUGUAUUGUGGCCUAUAGUAAUGCGUUCCCUUCUUCAUGGAGCUUUUAAUCUGAAUAAAAGACAGCUGCUGCAGGGAUGCAGAAAUCAAGAGAAAAGUUAGAAGCAACACAGAAAAACAGAGCACAGAAGGGCACACACCAAACUGUACAGCCAAUGCGGUGAGAACUCAUAGCUUGCAGCCUGAAUUGCACUUACAGUCCAGUGCGAGAAGAUGGGCUUGACACCAUUUCUUAAUUCAUUAGAUACCAACUUCAGCUUGCAUGCUUCAUUUCACAUGCCACAGACAGUAUACAUAGCCAUGAAUAUGAAACUCCUCCUGGUUUUCUGGUGUCAUUUUCUCCUGAAUUCUCUUGUAUAUUAAGUGCCUGCAUACAUACAAUUCCAUUUUCUGCCAAGGGAUGUGAUUUAAUUCCAUUGCUCUGUUUCUUGCAAACACAUUUAUACCAUGUGUUCUAAUUAAAACAGAAAAGCACUGGAUGAGGCUUUAUUUGAGUCAAAUUUAGCUAUGUAAAGGAUAGUCUCAUUCUUUCUGUUUUUGAUACCCUUAUGAGAACUGUGUUAGUCACUAAGGAUUUUGCUAGCAAAUUGUAUUCAAGGCCUGUUCAACUCCUCCCUUAGCAGCAUUCAUAGAAACUUCUCCCUUAUAUAUUAAUUUAAUCAAUUAGCCUCUUCCAAUUUUUAUAGGUUCUGUAACAAUUUCUCUGGGAUCCCAAAUUUCUAGUGAUUAAUUUCCAUCCUGAACUAUUACCACCCAAAUCAUCCUCCAAGCACUUUAGUAUGUUCAUCUACUUGUGACUUAUAGUCUGCUCUAACACCCAGCUAACCGUGUAAGCAUCUUCCUUCCAACUAGAGAAUAUGGGAAGGAGCUUAGAGCUGAGCUCCUUUAGUUUGUCUCCACUGGGGCCACAGAAGCAGAAGGGACUCAGAGCUUUGAGAGGAGGCUGUGGUGAUUUUCUUUCCUUCUUUGUUCACCCUUUUGAAUUAAGAAGAGCCGUAGAGAUCCUCUAUUCCCUUUCUUCAAUCCACUGGGAGUAAGUGAUUGAUACUGUGAGGUAGUUACAGACCACAGCUCAUCUCUCACAUCACCAGUACUAAUAUCAGAGACAGCCUAAAUGCUGGCAGUGAAAACCAUCAUCAGUUCAACAGCUCGGUUACUUUUCUCUCUAACUCCUUGCUGAGUAAGGAGACAGUAAGUAUGUGCAUUAGCAUAUCAUUCUUCAAAUGUGACUAAUAGUUGUAUGGUGCCUAAUAUAUGAUAUAAAUGUGAACUCAAAUGUAAAGAAAUGAUCAGACAGCAGUAUUAAAUCAACAGAAAACAACUGCUUAAACACAGUGCAUCCUACUUUUGUGGAGCUUAUAGCUGUCAGCAAAAAUUGUGGCACCAAAAAAUGCAUAAACAGGCUUAAAAAAGAUUGGAAAGAUUUCCCUAGGGUAGUUCCAUCCAUGGCUAUUAAAUGUGCUGGUCCAAAUGCACAUUCCAUCUCAGGAAACUAUUAAACUUUGCCAUGAAGUUACAAAAGAAGAAACACUCUGCAGAGAUGAGUUUCUUCAAAGUGGUAGAAAAUAGUGAUGCCCUUCUGUAUACCUUGACAUAACAUGCAGCAGAUCUGGAUGUUCUUGUCAUUGUCAAAUAACUGGAAAGAAAGAAACUAACAAAAACUACUCUAUCCAGUGAUAUUCACCUAGGAAGCCACGUUGCAGCUGAGGUGAAAAUCAUGCAGCCACAGUUUGGAAUAAGAGUCUCAGAUUGCAGUGUUCAGUGCUUCUCAGAUCAGCAAGAUGAGAGCUCUCCAGAAGCAAUGUGGUUAAAUCCACCACUCCAAGCAUCUCCACCCAAGAGGCUGCUCCGAAGCUUUCUACAGAGAAAGGAUUUAAUUAACUGAAGUCUCCAAAUGUGAUUUUCCUGGUAUAGUGCAAUUUUCAAUAUAAUAAACUGCCAAAAUGUAUGCUUUGUGAUUCAUGAUGCUCGUCUGCUUAGACAGCUUUUAAGCUGAUCCCUAAGUACCAAAAAAGCUCAAGCAUUGGAGGAGGAGAGGCUACGCUGAGCAGGUUUGAAUGUCAUAAAUGCACUGUUGUGGGUUAGUAAUUGUAUCACAGUUGACAGAUGCUGCAGCAAUCAUGUGACUAAAACAUGACCUCAUAUUUCUGCUUUCUCUUCUCCUCCCCCAGAAGUGAGGGCAGUGCUAUCAGGCCUUAAAUAAGCAAAAAGCCUGUACUGGAAGGCUAGUUGAUGAGUUACUUAAAGUAGAAGCCUGAAUUUGGACACAUGGAUGUACUUUGUAUGAACUAUUAAGCAGCUUCUCAAACAGUGACAGUUAUGCAAAACAAUUUUUUUUUUUCCACUUGGGAAGUGCACUACAUUUGCUAUUAGGGUAAAAAUACUGAAUCACGAGUCACACGGGCUUAGAUCAUCCCUUCCCAAUGAAAAAGCCGCAGAAGGGGCCUUAGAGGGAAGAAAAUGCCUCAAUGAUCUGUUCACAGGAUUACUAUGCAGACAAUUGGGCUGCUGCAGGCUCUGAUGUCCUCCAGGGAUAUGUGGGAGGAUACUGCAGCACAGAGGGGGCUGUCUCUGCCCUGCCUCCUCCCCAGGAGCCACUCUGCAUGCUCUGUCAGGAUGAUUUGCAGAAGGCAAAAGCUUCUGCUCCUUUACUGGAGUCCCAGGGAUGGGGGACAUCCAAGAAGGAUGGAACAGCCAAGGGCACUGUGUGUCCCCAUAAGCUGCCUUUUUUUCUUUUUCUUUUUGGCUUAGAUUUUGGAUCAUACAGGUCCCCAGAGGGGCUCUGUAAGAAGAAAACAAGAUGAUGCACUCUCAGCAGAUGAACACCACUUCAACAUGAAGGGGAUCCCACCUUGGAAAUUUCCACAGAUUCAAUCUGCCCUGAGGGGAUAAUUUUCUAUCGAACUGUUACACAGGGAUCAAAGCGGAGGCUGGGUGAAGGACCCAGACGUGUCACAGGUAUUAUAAUCUACUCAACUGCUGUAGCAAUGCUUUGGAUCAGAAACAUCCUAGUUGGUCUUCUUCAUGUUGACGGCAUAUUGGAAAGGUAUGGGAUUUCACUGCUUUAGAUAAUCAGGGUUUCAGUCAUAUUUUGGUUUCAGAUCCAUGAAAGCCUUUCCUGGAGACCUACACUCCAUGGCCAUGGCACUGCGUCCUCGCCCAAGCUUUCAUGAGAUGCUUUCAGCCAGCAGUUUCACUCUGAAAGACAUUUCAUGUCAGAGUGAAGCUCUACCGGUGUUAAAAACGAACACGCUCGUCAAUACCGUAGGGAGCAUCCCCGGCUUCUCUGCCCCCGACCCCCCUGGCGCGGCCGCCAUCUCGGGAGCCGCGUCCCGUGCACGGCGCCAUCUUGUGGUGGCUGAGGGCUGGAGCCGGCAGGCGUCCAUCCACAUGUAGAUGACUGAUAUAUUUUCCACAUUCCACCAGGAAUUAAAAUCCUCCGUCACCUCUUUUCACUUGUAGCCUGGCUUGUGAUAAUGUGUUUUCCUGUGAACACCGAGCUAGCUGCGAGUGAGUACUGGGAAAAGAAUCAGCCAACUUCCUCCAUCAUUCCUCAAAUGGUGGUGAUGGUGGUGUGGCUCUGAGAAAGGUGGGGAACAGAAGCUCAUUUUUACAAGUUUCCAAUAAGGCCAGUCAUAUUUUUAUGUCUUACACACUAGACCCUCCCUGGCCAGACUAGGAAGGGAAAUUUAUUAUAAAAGAGCCUCAGGAUAUGCCCCCUUGUAUGUGGUACGUGUUGCUAUAUAUGAAGUUUUAUUUAUGAUGUAGAUUAGAUGACAGUAUCCAUGGCAAUUUGUUUAGGGCUUUAAAAUUUUCUCUUUCAACUUGAACUGGGAAUUAAAUUAAGCAGCUGAACUUUGCUUUUCUACUCACAAUCUGUUUAAUCAAAGCAGGAGAUCCUCCUGAAUGCCUAAAUGACCAACUUGCUGGAAAGAGUCCCUGAUAGAUUUCUCUUUUAAAUUUAGCACAGCCCAGAAUAGUAACUCUUACAUAACAUAUACACAGCAAAUAUGGGAGUUGCUAUAAUUUCAGUGAUAGACUGCAGGUUUCCUGCCUUGCAGAGUAACCAAAGCAGACAGCGUUGCAGUCAUCCCUCAUUUAAAAAGCUUGAGUAAAUAGGAUUGUUCUUACAAAGCAGAGAAUAGUGUUUCCUUUAGGAAUCAGAAUACUGUUGACGACCAAAUGGACAGUGACACAUCCCUUAUCCGUGAGUGUUAUUGUGGCCUCUGUUUACUUCAAAACCUACAGGUGCAAUGGACCACCUGUUUCUGAGGAAAAAGAAAGACAGGAGGCAGGAAUUUGUACUCUGCUGGUGACAGGCUACUGGAGUUACUCAAGGAAGUGCAGUGCUUAGAUAAAUAUGAUCCCUGCUUAUUCACAGCUAAUUAUGUCUGGAGUAUAUACCCUUCCAUGCAGCCUGUGCCUCGGGUGGGAGAUUCUAAACAAGGAAGGAACAGGAAUUAGACCUUUCUGGCACAGUGUGUUUGAUAGACAUCUGGCAAGAAGGAAUGAAAUAGACAUUCAACCUAUUUUCACCCUCUCCUGCUUUCCACUUUCUGUAGCUUGAUACUUGUCGUAACAGUGAACCCCAGAGUAAUUGCAGAGCCUGUACUACAUAUGGAUUCAUCUCAGGCAAAUUCGUGCUGUGUUUCAAGGAGUGAGCCCAUGAAAUACUGCAUUCUCUGAGUGAUCUGUCUCUACUAAGCUGACAGCUCCUGGGGACUGUAGCUUACCAAGCUGGGUAGGAUUCAAGUACUCCAGCAGGUAGGACACCAGAGUACCCAUGCCUCCCAGAACUGCUUCAGUGAGGAAGCAGCAAGGACCUCUGUAGUUAAUAGACUGGCAGUAAAGCUCAUGAGGAGGUGGGGAAGAAGACUCUAAACAAAUUGAACUUGAGGGCUGCAGCCUUUCUUGGGGGUCUGAAGGUCUUGUUAGAGUUCAGGCUGUGGCUGCAUGUUUCUGACAAUGAAGGACAGCAAGCUACUGGGUGUACUGGAUUCUCUGUUGCUUGUAGCCUAUGUCAAGAGCAGAUGCCUUCCUUGAAGCUUAACUACAUUUCAAAGGAGAACUAUGUGCUUUUAAUAGGAAUUCCUUGGUCAUUUUGUUUGGUCAGUCCUACGGAAGAAAUUGUACUAGAGUAUCGUAAUUAAUACAGUUGAAUCUAAUAAAUAUGAGGCAGCUUGUUAAUAAAAGUGAAUAAUUUUGACCUCAGUGGGGGUUUAACCUGAAUUGUAGGUGUAAGCAGCCACUGUGAAGCUUGGGUCAUAUUUGGAAGGACUGUGGAAAGACAGGGAUUUUGGAUAUAAAAUCAGCAUUGAAGUAUAUAAUCACAAUGUAAAAGUUUAAAAAAAUAAUGAAAACUUGAUUAAAAGGGUUAGAUGAGAAGAAAGAUUUAUUAAUAGCCCUGUAGAAGACAUUUAAAUAAUGCAGGUACCUUUUAUAAAGCACAGUACUGGAGUUUAUGAAAUACUUAAAUAAAAUAUUUGGACUGAAGGUUUUAUCUAGAGACCUUGGAGAAUUCUUGGUGAAUUUACUCAGGUCCUUGCUGGUGCUAUAAAUCUCUGCUUAGAAUCACUUUCAAUUCUCUUGCAUGUCUAAGUAGCAGCAAUAUUAAAUGUCUCAGUACUCCUUCUGUGUUAAAGUCACCUUUAUGCAGACAGCCACUGCAAGGCUCUACUUAACAAAACUGGGCUUAAAUGAUGCAUAAAUUUCAGCUUUCCAGGUGUUAUUUUUGCCAUCUCCGUAUGAGAAGAAAAGAAAGCAUUUCCUUUAAUCCUAUGUGGCUUCUAUAUUAUAAUAAGCCUUAAUACUUAUCCCUGGCUAUCUGGUUUUCAACUGACAUACACCCUACUGCUUCAAUUACCUGAACAUCUGAGUUACCAAUAUGCGCUUAAACCCAGACUGUGUACGUAUUGCAUAUAUAUGUGUAUUAAUCACAUCAAAGAACAGAAAAGACAAUAUACUCCCAGUGUUUCCCUAAUCCUGCAGUGGGUUCCUCCAAAAACUCACAUUAUUUACUUUUGAUGCUGUAUGUGCACCUUUCCCCAUUCUGAAGUGAAAGAACAUGAGUGAAUAUCACAAAGCAACACAUCAGAGCUGACUUAGCAACUUGUAUAACACCAACUGUGCAAAUUACCGAUUGGAGUUUGCACUUCAAUUUCACAAAAAGCAGAUGGCUUCUCAUGUGUAUAAGCAGAAUUUCCUUGGUCAGGGAAACAUACAGCUUCCUACUCCAUGCUUUAUAGGCCUCACAGAUGAACUUCAUUGCAGUCAAGCAGCGAGGAAAAGAACAGUGCAGAGGUUGCUGAAGUGAUGACCACAGGUCAAGGACCUUCUUGUCCUCAGAAAUUUUUGAUUAAAUACAUUUGCUUCUAUUUAGCAUUAAGUAUUUAUCUGAUCCAAUUGCCAAGAAAGAAACAAAAUCCACAUCCAAUAUUCCACAUGUAAACAAUCUUUGUGUUACAGUAUUUUUAGGUGAUCAUGGAAAAUUCUGAAAGCAGAUGGUGCACUGAUUCUUCCAGGCUUUAUUCGCUUUUCACUGCAGUAUUUGACCAUCUGUCUCCUCAGCAUCUGCUGAAAUUCUCCCAAACUAAUCCUCUAAUCCAACAUUGUCACUGUUUAAGCCCUUCUGAUCAGUUAUUACUAAGAAAAGAAUGGUAACAACGGUCAGUUUGGCAGCAUUUACAUACUUCCUCCAGUUUCACCUCUGUUAAAAAACACAGCCCACUGAGCACUUCUGUGACAGUCACGACGUGUCUCUGAAGUUUGAAGCGACUUGAGGUAAAGAACAGAAAUUUUGGAAGUUAUGGUCUCAAAAUGCAGUCUGUGAGUGUACCCACAGGUAGGAAACGGGACAUUUUUGGUCAGCUAUGACUCGAGGAUCACCGAACCACCUUAUUUCAUACGGAAGUGUUCCUGAUCUUUCCUGUGUUCUGGAAUGGAAAGAAAGACCAAUGUGGAUUUACUACACCAGUUCUUCAUUGCCUGACGGGGCCCUUGGUACAGGCAGUACUCUCAGCAGAUUACUUCUCUGUACUGUAAAGCUGCCUGAUGUUGCCAGACAAGAUUUCAGGACAGGAAUUGCCCAAGUAAGAUCUACUUUGCUCUUAAAUGAGCCGGGUGAUACAUGCUAAUUAUUUACUGUUUUCUUAUAUGUAUAUAUAUAUACACACAUAUAUCAUAUAUAUAUACACACACACACAUAUCAUAUAUAUAUAUAUAUAUAUAUCUGAUGUGUAUAUAUAUAUAUAUACAUGCAAGUUUCUUUUUGAAAUGGAGAUAGAGAACAAGUCUACUGGAACACAGAAAGUCAUACUAAAAAGUGGGGGGAAAAAUGCUGAAGGAACACAUCAUUUUACAUCUUGCACACAACAGCUCAAAUGUUUUAGGACAUAUAAACCUCUCAGACAGAUGAAUAAUAUAUAGUUUAAAGUGACAUCAUCUUUUAUUUAAAUGUUUUUAGUGAAUCCAAAACAUAUGGAUAUUUUACUGUGCUAGAGAUAAAUGAGUUUUGAGUCAAGAUCUUAGUUAUAAAUUAACAUAUUGGGACACAGAAUUAUUUAUUUGAUGAAGGAUUGUAGAAGCCUGUGGCAUUUCAAAGGGUGGAAUCUCAGAGCCCUGUCUGUUAUUUCUCUUAGGCUGCAGCAUCUUCACCAUUGUUUGCUUCUUCAUUGCAGCUGCAGAAAAAAUAUCAGCUCUGGACUCCGACACAGUUUUUGUGUUUGCUGUUCAUAAGGAAAUGGAGGUGCUGGGUCAUUCGGGUCUGGUGUAAGAGCAGUGAUGCUGGGCAGCAGCAACUGAAGCAAAGAUUUUAACACUGAAGACUACAGUAUAAUAACCAAGUGUAUUUUAUGAUGGAUUAAAAAGACAAAGCAUAUA